rnacentral:tRNA from 1 species
GAUAAGGUGGCUGAAGUUUAGGCAAUAAAUUGUAAAUUUAUUUAUGGUUUAAUACCCUUUAUCA